AUUUCCGUCAACCAAAGCCGGCGAAGGCGAUUCUGUCCGCCACUUACUCGCAUUGGCUCGUCAAUUCAUCAAUCAACGAAAGCCUUCCCAAGCCCUCCAAGCGGUUGUAAUGGCAAUGAGAACCCAAGGUGGGGAUGCAGCAGUCUUUCAAUCUUUGCACCGUGCCCGUGAGCUGUACAGAACUCGGUUACAGGAGACUGCUGAUGUCGAUCAACUAGCUUCUUUAUUUGCAGAGUGUGCUAUAGCUGAAGCCCAGCCUCUGA
rnacentral:misc_RNA from 1 species